UGACGGCCGCUAAGUAUACGCCUCAAAGAGUUCAAGCUCCACAUCUGACUGGAUUUUGGUUGAAGUUAUUUGUCAUGUUGAUUGAAGCACCAAUUAUUGGUUCAAUGAUCUUGAUUCUCGUGAAGAACAAGAACCGAAUAACCAAGAUGUUGAAGAAUACUGUGAUACCAGAGACUCCCAUGUUUAUACCUGAAUUUCCUCCUAAAGAG
rnacentral:misc_RNA from 1 species